rnacentral:rRNA from 1 species
GAUGAACGCUGGCGGCGUGCUUAACACAUGCAAGUCGAACGGAAAGGCCCAAGCUUGCUUGGGUACUCGAGUGGCGAACGUGUGAGUAACACGUUGGUGAUCUGCCCUGCACUUCGGGAUAAGCCUGGGAAACUGGGUCUAAUACCGGAUAGGACCACAUUUUGGAUGGUGUGGUGGAAAGUUUUUCGGUGUGGGAUGAGCUCGCGGCCUAUCAGCUUGUUGGUGGGGUAAUGGCCUACCAAGGCGUCGACGGGUAGCCGGCCUGAGAGGGUGUACGGGCAGAUUGGAAGUGAGAUACGGCCCAGACUCCUACGGGAAGCAGCAGUGGGGAAGAUUGCACAAUGGGCGCAAGCCUGAUGCAGCGACGAAGAGUGGGGGAUGACGACCUUCGGGUUGUAAACUCCUGUCGCUAGGGACAAAGCGUUAUGUGACGGUAACUGGAGAAGAAGCACCGGCUAACUACGUG